AGAGUUUGAUCCUGGCUCAGGACGAACGCUGGCGGCGUGCCUAAUACAUGCAAGUCGAGCGAGCUUCGCCUCACGAUGAUUUUAGUGCUUGCACUAAAUGAAACUAGAUACAAGCGUGCGGCGGACGGGUGAGUAACACGUGGGUAACCUGCCCAAGAGACUGGGAUAACACCUGGAAACAGAUGCUAAUACCGGAUAACAACACUAGACGCAUGUCUAGAGUUUGAAAGAUGGUUCUGCUAUCACUCUUGGAUGGACCUGCGGUGCAUUAGCUAGUUGGUAAGGUAACGGCUUACCAAGGCAAUGAUGCAUAGCCGAGUUGAGAGACUGAUCGGCCACAUUGGGACUGAGACACGGCCCAAACUCCUACGGGAGGCAGCAGUAGGGAAUCUUCCACAAUGGACGAAAGUCUGAUGGAGCAACGCCGCGUGAGUGAAGAAGGGUUUCGGCUCGUAAAGCUCUGUUGGUAGUGAAGAAAGAUAGAGGUAGUAACUGGCCUUUAUUUGACGGUAAUUACUUAGAAAGUCACGGCUAACUACGUGCCAGCAGCCGCGGUAAUACGUAGGUGGCAAGCGUUGUCCGGAUUUAUUGGGCGUAAAGCGAGUGCAGGCGGUUCAAUAAGUCUGAUGUGAAAGCCUUCGGCUCAACCGGAGAAUUGCAUCAGAAACUGUUGAACUUGAGUGCAGAAGAGGAGAGUGGAACUCCAUGUGUAGCGGUGGAAUGCGUAGAUAUAUGGAAGAACACCAGUGGCGAAGGCGGCUCUCUGGUCUGCAACUGACGCUGAGGCUCGAAAGCAUGGGUAGCGAACAGGAUUAGAUACCCUGGUAGUCCAUGCCGUAAACGAUGAGUGCUAAGUGUUGGGAGGUUUCCGCCUCUCAGUGCUGCAGCU
rnacentral:rRNA from 1 species